AAACUUUCAACAACGGAUCUCUUGGUUCUGGCAUCGAUGAAGAACGCAGCGAAAUGCGAUAAGUAAUGUGAAUUGCAGAAUUCAGUGAAUCAUCGAAUCUUUGAACGCACAUUGCGCCCCGUGGUAUUCCGCGGGGCAUGCCUGUUCGAGCGUCAUUUCACCACUCGAGUCUGACUCGGUAUUGGGC
rnacentral:rRNA from 1 species